CGGGACGGGUGAGUAAUGUCUGGGAAACUGCCUGAUGGAGGGGGAUAACUACUGGAAACGGUAGCUAAUACCGCAUAACGUCGCAAGACCAAAGAGGGGACCUUCGGGCCUCGCGCCAUCAGAUGAACCCAUAUGGGAUUAGCUAGUAGGUAAGGUAACGGCUUACCUAGGCGACGAUCCCUAGCUGGUCUGAGAGGAUGAUCAGCCACACUGGGACUGAGACACGGCCCAG
rnacentral:rRNA from 1 species